AGAGUUUGAUCCUGGCUCAGGAUGAACGCUGGCGGCGUGCUUAACACAUGCAAGUCGAGCGAUGAAGUUUCCUUCGGGAAACGGAUUAGCGGCGGACGGGUGAGUAACACGUGGGUAACCUGCCUCAUAGAGUGGAAUAGCCUUCCGAAAGGAAGAUUAAUACCGCAUAAUGUUGAAAGAUGGCAUCAUCAUUUAACCAAAGGAGCAAUCCGCUAUGAGAUGGACCCGCGGCGCAUUAGCUAGUUGGUGGGGUAACGGCCUACCAAGGCGACGAUGCGUAGCCGACCUGAGAGGGUGAUCGGCCACAUUGGGACUGAGACACGGCCCAGACUCCUACGGGAGGCAGCAGUGGGGAAUAUUGCACAAUGGGGGAAACCCUGAUGCAGCAACGCCGCGUGAGUGAUGAAGGUUUUCGGAUCGUAAAGCUCUGUCUUUGGGGAAGAUAAUGACGGUACCCAAGGAGGAAGCCACGGCUAACUACGUGCCAGCAGCCGCGGUAAUACGUAGGUGGCGAGCGUUAUCCGGAUUUACUGGGCGUAAAGGGAGCGUAGGCGGAUGAUUAAGUGGGAUGUGAAAUACCCGGGCUCAACUUGGGUGCUGCAUUCCAAACUGGUUAUCUAGAGUGCAGGAGAGGAGAGUGGAAUUCCUAGUGUAGCGGUGAAAUGCGUAGAGAUUAGGAAGAACACCAGUGGCGAAGGCGACUCUCUGGACUGUAACUGACGCUGAGGCUCGAAAGCGUGGGGAGCAAACAGGAUUAGAUACCCUGGUAGUCCACGCCGUAAACGAUGAAACUUAGGUGUGGGGGUUUCCACACCUCCGUGCUCCCCCCAACGCAUUAAGUGUUCCGCUUGGGGAGUACGGUCGCAGGAUUAAAACUCAAAGGAAUUGACGGGGGUCCGCACAAGCAGUGGGAGUAUGUUGUUUAAUUGGACGCAACGCGAAGAACGUUACCAAGACUUGACAUAUACAGGAAUAGUUAAGAAAUUAGCUAGUUCUUCGGAACUUGUAUACAGGUGAUGCAUGGUUGUCGUCAGCUCGUGUCGUGAGAUGUUGGGUUAAGUCCCGCAACGAGCGCAACCCUCGUGACUAGUUGCCACUAUUUAGUUAGGGAACUCUAGUCAGACUGCCGUGGAUAACACGGAGGAAGGUGAGGAUGACGUCAAAUCAUCACGUCCCUUAUGUCUUGGGCUACAAACGUACUACAAUGGCUAUAACAAAGAGAAGCGAAUCCGCGAGGAGGAGCAAAACUGAUAAAAAUAGUCUCAGUUCGGAUUGCAGGCUGAAACUCGCCUGCAUGAAGCUGGAAUUGCUAGUAAUCACAGGUCAGCAUACUGUGGUGAAUACGUUCCCGGGCCUUGCACUCACCGCCCGUCA
rnacentral:rRNA from 1 species